rnacentral:lncRNA from 1 species
GUGGUGGUUGUGACUUGUGAUGUGACGUUGCUUGAUAUUAGUAGUUGAAAGUGUUGAUUGUGAUGACUGAAAAAUGAAUGCAUGAUGGUUGACGAUGUGUUAGUGCUAGUUGGAGAUGUUGUUAGUUGUGACAGUAGAGAUGAUUGUUAGUAGAGAUAAAUUGUAACGAUGUUAGUGGUUGAAGUGAUGGUAGAGGUGGCGUUACUAGUGAUAAUGGUGGCCGCGGUCGAAGAAUGUGUGGAGGUUGUGAUGUAUUAGUGGUAGUUAGCGGUGAUGCUAGUUGUGAUAGAUAAGGUGGAAUAGUAGG